rnacentral:lncRNA from 1 species
ACUCUGUAGGUGCCCCGGGGCACAGGCAAGCGGACGAGCCAGUUAUCCCUCAGAGCUCCUGCUGCCUCGCCCGCUUUCUCUCGGAAACGUGAAGUGUGGCCUCAGCUGAAAGUGAGGUGGGCCUCAUUCAAUCAGUUGAAUUCUUCAAGAGAGAAAAACUGAAGUCCCUUAGAAGGAAAGAGUUCUGCCUUCAGACUGUCUUUGAACUUAAGACUGUAGCGUCGACUCCUGCCGGAAUUUCCAGCCUGCUGGCCAGCUCUGCAGAUUCACACUUGCCAGCCUCCACAAUCGCAGCUGAGGCGGAGGAACCCUAAGGGCUCAUUGAGAUCAUGGAUUUGCCCUUCUAUGCAUUGAUGGAGCACCUGCUGCCCACAGCGUCUGUAUUUGGUGCUGGGAUGCUGAGCCUCCUUCUUUAUGAAUUUUUAAAAGGACACUGAGAUCUUCAAACAGAGGCUGCCACUCUAAGCAAACAGAUCCCGAGCCCUGGACUCUGAAGCUUGGGCCCAGUUCUCCUUUUCUCCGGGUUUCAGAUCCCACUGUGAAGUGAGGGGGCCCUUCUGAUUCAGGACCCGGGGAAGCCAGGGGCAUGAGCAUCGGUGCCUCUUCUCUAUUUCAAGGACCCUUCUGGGUGUAAAGUUCUCUGAGAUGCCUUACAUGGAUUCCCACCACUGCAAGAUAACCAUCGUAUGUAAAGUGUUAUGACCAGCAGAGCGUAAUUGAAGUGCAUUCCAGAGGGAAAGACAGCGGCUCAGAUGAGGCUUCAGGCUUGACCAAAUCUGACUGGCUGGCUGCCGGAGACACUGCUACCCAUCGGCCCUUAAUAAAUGGCCUCAUUUGAUCAUCAUGUGAUCUUCAGAAGCUGGGCUUGAUUAUCCUUGCCAAACAAAAUGCUGAAACCAAAAAUCUGAAAGGUCAAUGGCCUGCCAGCCUGCCUGUGUCUGUCAGUGUGCUGUUCUGCUGGGGCCCUCUCCACAUCCAGCUGCUGUGUCGUCUUCCACUGAUGCGUUCCUCUUGACAUCCAGCCGCAUGUGCAUGUGUGUCCGAUGGGGCCUCGGGGUUUUUAUAGGCAUAGGAUGGGGGUGUGGUGGGCCAGGGUGGUCUUGGGAAAUGCAACAUUUGGGCGGGAAAACAGAAAUGCCUGUCCUCACCUAGGCCCAUGGGCACAGGCCCUGGGAUGAAGCCCUAGCCAGGGACCACACCUUCCUCUACCCAGCACGUCCCUGUCCCCCUUCCAUAUCACUGUGGUAAAAUCCAGUUUUUUUCACCUUAGAUUUUGUACAUUUGAGGUAUGACAUAAAGUGCAUAUUCAGUUCAAGAUAAAAAGUUUUCUCCAAUAGUCUCCUAUUAGCUUUAUUUUUAUGCCUUUUCAUUUGAGUUUUUAAUCAAUCUAGAGAUCAUUUUACUUAGGAUGUAAGGAAGAGUUCCAAUUUUAGUUUUACCCAUCAGGCAAGCCAGUGGUACCCAAAGCCAUGUAUUAAAAAAGUCUAUUCCUGUCUCACUGAUGUGUGUCACUUCUGUCAUAAAACAGAUCCUUAAACACACAUGGGUUUGGUGUUGAGCUUUCUGUUUUGUUCCACUUAUGAAUUUAAUAUUUCUGUACCAAAACUGCACUUUUUUUUAAGUAGUAUUUUGUGGAAUUUUUUCAUAUCUUGUAGGUCAGGUCCCUUUUAUUCUCUUUUUCUGAAAUUGUUUAUUUUUUAAAGAAUUUUAUUUUUUCAUGUAAAUGUCAGAAUAAGAUUGUUGAAGUCUUCAAAAAUCGCUCCUAAAAUUUUUUUUUUUUAAUCAGAAUCUCAUUUAAGUAUGGCUUUUGUGGAGAACUGCCAUUUCUUCAAAUGUUAAACUAGUCCAUUAUGGGAUAUGGUAUAUUUUCUCUUUAUUCUAAUCUUUCUUUAUAUCCUUUAAUGAAUUUUAAAACUUUCUCUAUAAAGAAUCAUGAAUUCUUUGUUAGAUUUAUUCUUAGAUAUAUUUAAGUUUUUCUUGUUAUUGUAAAUGUUAUAUUGUUUUAUUAUUAUAUGUUUUAGUUAGAAAUUACCAGUGUGAGGAAACAUCAUGGUAUGGUUGAAAUCACACCUCUUAAUUUUUGUAGAACUCUUAAUUCCAAUAUUGCGUGCAUUGAUUCUGAUGCAUUUUCUAUUUAGGUGAUCAUGCCAUCUGCAAAUAAGGAUAGCCUUGACUUGUCUUAAUAUAUUCUUCUACCUCUUGUUGAUCUUUCUCUUGAUGAGUCCAUUGGACAGCUUUACCAGUAGCAAUAAGAUUGCGUUUUUCUUGUUUCCAGUCUUAAAGGAGCCAUGCCUCAAGUCCAUCCUCUGAAUAUGGUAUUCGUCAAAGACAAGCAUAGUUAUUUAUCAGAUAAAGAACAUUCUCCUUUAGUUACAGUAUUCUGGGAAUACUGUAUGUAAUAAUAAUAAUGUAAAUAAUUUUAUUUAAAAACAAGUUGGAUAUUUACAAGUGCAUUUUUUUUUGCUUCUACUGACCUAGUCAAUAUUUUUUCUUUCUUCAUCUUAGUAUCUUAAAGUGGUGAAUUA